rnacentral:rRNA from 1 species
CGCGUAAAUUACCCAAUCCCGACACGGGGAGGUAGUGACAAGAAAUAACAAUACCGGAUCUUUCUAGAUCUGGUAAUUGGAAUGAGUACAAUCUAAAUUCCUUAACAAGGACCCAUUGGAGGGCAAGUCUGGUGCCAGCAGCCGCGGUAAUACCAGCUCCAAUAGCGUAUAUUAAAGUUGUUGCAGUUAAAAGGCUCGUAGUCGAACUUUUGGUUCUUUAGGUUUGUCCCGUUCUCUUGUAGAACGUUGUGACGAUUCUUAGAACCUUCCUGGUAGAAAGCGUUUCUGCCCUUUAUUGGGUUGGUUGCGCGAUCUGCCUCUUUUACUGUAAGAAAAACAAAGUGCUCAAAGCAGGCUUUACAGCUUGAAUGCGUUAGCAUGGAAUAAUAAGAUAGGACUUUGUUUCUAUUUUGUUGGCUCUGAGGAACAAAGUAAUGAUUGAUAGGGAUAGUUGGGGGUGCUCGUAUUUAACGGUCAGCGGUGAAAUGCAUGGACCCGUUAAAGACGAACCUAUGCGAAAGCAUUCACCAAGGAUAUCUUCUUUGAUCAAGAACGAAAGUUGGGGGAUCGAAGACGAUCAGAUACCGUCGUAGUCUCAACCAUAAACUAUGCCGACUAGGGAUUGGCGGCAGUUGAUCAUUGACCCCGUCAGCACCUUAUGAGAAAUCAAAGUC